UACAGAGGUCCCGAGCGUUGUUCGGAUUCACUGGGCGUAAAGCGCACGUAGGCGGAUCUUUAAGUCAGGGGUGAAAUCCCGAGGCUCAACCUCGGAACUGCCUUUGAUACUGGGGAUCUCGAGUCCGGGAGAGGUGAGUGGAACUGCGAGUGUAGAGGUGAAAUUCGUAGAUAUUCGCAAGAACACCAGUGGCGAAGGCGGCUCACUGGCCCGGAACUGACGCUGAGGUGCGAAAGCGUGGGGAGCAAACAGG
rnacentral:rRNA from 1 species